UAAGGGCCAGAGCACGUGUGAUGAUCAGAGAAGAACUUGCUGGAGUCCGUUCUCCCUCGUCACCCUGUGGGGCCCUGGGAUUUUCAUAUCCACUGCUUCUGGUCUUGAAGGGCAGGGAGUGAGCCAGGCUCUUCCUCCCGCCCCCUACGUAGGUGGUCUCUAGGAUGCCAUUCCCAUGUGAUCGUGUCCGCAGUCCUCGACACAACUCUACACCCACUAAAGCCUCAGUGUCUGAAACCUGCCUGGCAAUCCUUGGCAGAGGGUGUCACCCAGCCCGCUGCCGGCGGGGAGGAGCCUCGGAGGGGAGGUGUCGAGCCGCGCUUCCGGCGGGCAGCGCCGGGGCCCUGCGGAGUCCCGCCUCGCCGCCCCUCGAGCGCCCCCAGCUUCUCUGCUGGCCGGAACCUGCACCCCGAACCAGGAAGCACCUGGCGGCGGGCGCGGGAUGGCUGGGCCCAGCUGGGGUCUCCCUCGGCUGGACGGUUUCAUCCUUACCGAGCGCCUGGGCAGUGGCACGUACGCCACGGUGUACAAGGCCUACGCCAAGAAGGAUACUCGGGAAGUGGUAGCCAUAAAAUGCGUGGCCAAGAAGAGUCUCAACAAGGCGUCAGUGGAAAACCUCCUGACUGAGAUUGAGAUCCUCAAGGGCAUUCGGCACCCCCAUAUCGUGCAGCUGAAAGACUUCCAGUGGGACAAUGACAAUAUCUACCUCAUCAUGGAGUUCUGUGCAGGGGGUGACCUGUCUCGCUUCAUUCAUACCCGCAGGAUCCUGCCUGAGAAGGUGGCCCGUGUUUUCAUGCAGCAGUUGGCUAGUGCCCUGCAGUUCCUGCAUGAACGAAACAUCUCUCACUUGGAUCUGAAACCGCAGAACAUCCUGCUGAGCUCUUUGGAGAAGCCCCACCUGAAACUGGCAGACUUUGGCUUUGCCCAGCACAUGUCCCCGUGGGACGAAAAACACGUGCUCCGUGGCUCCCCGCUCUAUAUGGCUCCUGAGAUGGUGUGUCGGCGGCAGUAUGAUGCGCGUGUGGACCUCUGGUCUGUGGGGGUGAUCCUGUACGCUCCCUCUUCGGCCCCAACUCUCCCUAGACUGCCGGGACCUGUUGCAGCGACUUCUAGAGCGGGACCCCGCCCGUCGAAUCUCCUUCAAGGACUUCUUUGCCCAUCCCUGGGUGGACCUGGAGCACAUGCCCAGUGGGGAGAGCCUGGCACAGGCAAGGGCCCUUGUGGUGGAGGCUGUGAAGAAGGACCAGGAGGGGGAUGCUGCCGCUGCCCUGUCGCUCUACUGCAAGGCUCUGGACUUCUUUGUACCUGCGCUACACUACGAAGUGGAUGCCCAGAGGAAGGAGGCAAUUAAGGCGAAGGUGGGACAGUAUGUGUCCCGGGCAGAGGAGCUCAAAGCCAUUGUCUCCUCCUCCAAUCAGGCCCUGCUAAGACAGGGCACAACUGUCCAAGAGCUGCUUCGAGAGAUGGCCCGUGACAAACCACGCCUCCUGGCUGCCCUGGAAGUGGCCUCAGCUGCCCUGGCCAAGGAGGAGGAAGCUGGCAAAGAGCAGGAUGCCCUGGACCUGUACCAGCACAGCCUCGGGGAGCUGCUAGUGCUGUUGGCAGCAGAGGCCCCAGGCCGAAGGCGGGAGCUCCUUCACACCGAGGUAGGGGUGGGAGUCGAGAAGUGCUCCUUUCCCUCCUCCUACUCAGGUCUGUGGGACAUAAAUAGAUCGCAUAUGGACUUUCCUUGCCUCAGAAUUGUGAGGUCAGUGACCCAGGACUUCUGUGCCUAGAUUAAACCAAAAGUCUGCCGGGCUCCUACAACAGGGAACAGAUAGUGUUAUCAGAGACAAGGCCAUUCUAAUGAGACAGAGGGUUCUGGGGCGCAGCAGGGGUGAGGAGGCACUUGAACCCUCCUCACGUCUGCCCAUGUCGUCUCUUGGCAGGUUCAGAACCUCAUGGCUCGAGCUGAAUACCUGAAGGAGCAGAUCAAGAUAAGGGAGUCUCACUGGGAAGCGGAGAGUCUGGACAAAGAGGGGCUGUCGGAGUCUGUUCGUAGUUCUUGCACACUGCAGUGACACCGGAAGGAGCAGCGGAUGGAGCACAACCCUAGAGAGAAGCUGCAUUACCAACUCAGGUUGACACCUGCACACCUGGGACCUUCCUGGACGAGCAGCUCCCACAUGCUGGUUCCCAGCAUUCCUCUGAGUGUUCUCCACCCUUGGGGCGUCUGGUGGCAGGUGUACUAAGCUCUGGGAGAAUUACUUGAAUGUGACCUUGUCAUUAGGUGACUGCUGGUCUAAGCCUGUCCGGCUUCAGGACACCAUCACCCCGUUGUGUUUUGUUCUGCAAAGAGGACGUCAUGCCUCUUCAGGACACUUGCUACCAGACAGCUGCUGUACCUGGGCCACCCCUCCCUGGGAGCCUUUAUUCCAACCCUACUUUUUUUCUUGCACUGGAAUGGGACACUCGGAUACCCUCAGGGACUACCUACCUGACAGUAUGCUCUCGGCUCUCAGACCUCUCCAGUCUUCCUGCGAGCUCAGAGCUGCCAUCCUUUUCAGUUCUUUAAGACAAUCCUUCAUGCAUGAAAGUCAUGCCCUUUGUAAAGGUGGAAUACAUGUGAGAACCCCAGACCUUCCCUGCCUUGGCAUGGAGGAGGGGUCCUCAUACCCCCACUUACAGCUCUCUUUGAGGGGAUAUGCCACACUAGUCACAUGGUGGACCCUGAGCUAGAGCUGGGUCUUGGCUGGGUCUUCCCCUCUGUCCUAUUAAGCUAUGGAUACAUCCACAGCUUAUACCCUGUAUGAGCUGGAGAAGAACUUACGUAUCUGGAGUUACUGGAAGAUUGCUCUUUUUUUUUUUCUUCUUUAAACACCCCCUCCCCCAGGUCAUCAUCUUGUUUCAGAUUUUUAUUCAAAUUCUUAUUGAAGGCUGAUUUUUGAAUAAGGAGCAGAGGAGCUGUUCUGCCACAAAUGACCCCCAAAUGACAGGCACUGAGACUUUCUUUCUUCCUUCCUUCCUUCCUUCCUUCCUUCCUUCCUUCCUUCCUUCCUUCCUUCCUUCCUUUCUUUCUUUCUUUCUUUCUUUCUUUCUUUCUUUCUUUCUUUCUUUCUUUCUUUCUUUCUUCUUUCUUCCUCUGUGUGUGUGUGGGGUGUGUGUGUGUGUGUGUGUGUGUGUGUGUGUGUGUGUGUGAAGGGUUAUUUCUAAAGUUAGAGAAUACUGGUGAUUUUCAAUCAUUCUGCCCUUAACCGCCUCCUUAGGGCAAAAUGGAACACCCUCCUUGCUAGAGGCUGGAUGUAUGUAAAGACUAUAGUUCAUUGUUUCUCUAUUAAAUUAUUUUCCAUACUUA